rnacentral:rRNA from 1 species
AAGACCUUGCACUUUUGGAGCGGCCGAUGUCUGAUUAGCUAGUUGGUGGGGUAAUGGCCUACCAAAGCUUCGAUCAGUAGCUGGUCUGAGAGGACGGCCAGCCACACUGGGACUGAGACACGGCCCAGACUCCUACGGGAGGCAGCAGUGGGGAAUUUUGGACAAUGGGGGCAACCCUGAUCCAGCCAUGCCGCGUGAGUGAAGAAGGCCUUCGGGUUGUAAAGCUCUUUCAGCCGGAACGAAACGGUUACGGUUAAUACCCGUGACUACUGACGGUACCGGAAGAAGAAGCACCGGCUAACUACGUGCCAGCAGCCGCGGUAAUACGUAGGGUGCGAGCGUUAAUCGGAAUUACUGGGCGUAAAGCGUGCGCAGGUGGUUUUGUAAGUCAGAUGUGAAAGCCCCGGGCUCAACCUGGGAACU